ensembl:lncRNA
GUGGCCAACCCUGGGAGCACAGAGGCAAGACGUUCACCUGUGCCACCAGAAGGAGUGGACCCUGGGUCUCUUAACUAAUCCCCCCUAAUUUCAUUUAGGGGCUGGCAACAAAUAGGGAAGAAUCUCUGCUUGGAAGUGAUCUCUCUUUGGAGUUUCUGCCAGUGAAAAAGAGCAAACAGUAAUAAACGCUCAUUGUGAACGCUGGAAGAUUGGUAGUUCAGUUUCUGUUCUAAAUCAAGCAUGAGCUGUACCAGCUGUAGCAGGUAUUUGCAUGCCAGAUGAAUCUCCCAAACGUUUCUGUGCUGACCUUUGGCUAUCAUUUCUGGGAAUGGUGAAGCUAUGUACAGCAGGUAGGAGAAACAAAAGAUGCAAAGAUCAGCCAGAACAGCUGAGUAAGCAGAACCAAACUAACAAAAUUGCCUUCUUCCAAGGUAAAAAGGUAUUUUAACAUAAACUGGCUUCUUCCUUCAGUGUGGUGUCACCAUGUAAAAAAAAAUAUAUAUAUAUAUGGUCUAUUCAAAGCCUAUUGGAAGUUUUUGGAAACAUCCUAAAUCUACCCGGAGAUGAGGAUGGAGUUCCAUAAAAUAUGCAAAAAUGAACACUGCACCAUUAAGGCUGCAGACCCCCAAAAGGACUGCUCUUCGCCAGGUCGUGUCUACUUCCUAUUGGGGGACAAAAGAUUGCAGGCACAUAGCAGGAAUGCUUCAGACUGACUUAAAUUUCUGUCGUGAGUCUGCCGUGCAUGAUGUUUUGCUGGACUACGUUGUUAGUAAUGGAAAAAGUAUUGAUUUUAGGUUGCCCAUCUUCAGACUGACACGUGGACUUUAUGGAUAUGAUUAUGCAAUUGUGUAACAGAUUGUGGUGUUUUUGCCUGGGUCGUGGAUGGGCAGCUAAACUACUGGAUUCUUCUGUACAAGUUGAACUUAGCAGUGAAUGGAGCAGAAAGGCUCGUUCCUAUGAAGUCUCAAGUAGCUUUCACGUGCCUUUAAAAUAUCCAAUGAUAAAUGUCUUAGUAGCUUGAAAACUUGUAGAGAGAAAAUAAAAUAUAUAAGCAGCCUUAAUUGAAAAUG